rnacentral:rRNA from 1 species
GUGCCAGCAGCCGCGGUAAUACGUAGGUUCCGAGCGUUGUCCGGAUUUAUUGGGCGUAAAGCGAGCGCAGGCGGUUAGAUAAGUCUGAAGCUAAAGGCUGUGGCUUAACCAUAGUACGCUUUGGAAACUGUUUAACUUGAGUGCAAGAGGGGAGAGUGGAAUUCCAUGUGUAGCGGUGAAAUGCGUAGAUAUAUGGAGGAACACCGGUGGCGAAAGCGGCUCUCUGGCUUGUAACUGACGCUGAGGCUCGAAAGCGUGGGGAGCAAACAGGAUUAGAUACCCUGGUAGUCAAGGGCG